rnacentral:lncRNA from 1 species
UUGUUGCCGGUUUCCGGUGACUGAAUUCCUCGGUAGAAGGAUUGUUAAUUAUUGUCCUCCACCGAGAAUGAAACUUAGUAGGUCGAUUAAUAAGUCAAUUAAUGCUCUUGCAAUGGAGUUGACAAAGGAGACAUAUUCUUUUAGAGAGGAGGAGAAAAUACCUCUGGAUUGGAGGUACCAGAUUGACACUGGUGUUGAUCGAAAACCUGGCUUGUGGCCACCGGAGAAUAAAGCAGAUAAUCCUUCAUUGCACAAUCCCUUGCUCCGACAAGAAAGGAUGGGUUGCGGCUGGUUAGGUGCUAUAUUUGAAUGGGAAGGAGUGAUUAUUGAAGACAAUCCUGAUCUUGAGAAGCAAGCUUGGCUGACUCUUGCACAAGAAGAAGGAAAAUCUCCUCCUCCGGCUUUCAUUCUUAGAAGAAUCGAAGGGAUGAAGAAUGAACAGGCCAUAUCAGAAGUUUUGUGCUGGUCAAGAGACCCAGCAGAACUGAGAAGAAUGGCUUCGAGGAUGGAAGAGAUUUAUCAAGCUCUACAAGGUGGGAUAUAUAGACUACGAACUGGAUCUAAGGAGUUUGUGAAUAUAUUGAUGCAUUACAAGAUACCAAUGGCAUUAGUUUCGACUCGUCCAAGGAAAACCCUGGAGACUGCAAUUGAUAGCAUAGGGAUUGAAGAAUACUUUACUGCAAUUGUAGCGGCAGAGGAUGUCCACAGGGGAAAAC